UCAAUAUUUUCUUAGAAAACAAGAAAAGUUAGUGAUCUCAUUAUAGAAUUGUUAACUCCAAAGGACAGACUUUCAGGGCAGUUUACCAGGAGACAGCUUUUACAAUGAGGGCACUGGCAAGAGGAAGGAAAAAGCCAUUUUUGCUGCUUCAUGUGUUGCCUACACAGCGACUGUUACAGUGGCUUCAGCAGAAUCAGUGGUGGUGUCAACAGCAUCUGGAGCAGAGAGGGCAAGCUUAGUUCAUAUGAAGCAGCAAUAGCAACAGAAGAAAAGGCAGUGACAUCACCCUCAGCUUGUUGGAGGUAAGUGUGACCUUAUGGACUAAGGCAAGUGACCAUAACACUCUCCAACAGCUGCUCACCAUCCCCUUCAUAAUCUCCAGUCAC
rnacentral:lncRNA from 1 species